AUGUUGAACUUUGUCAAGCAAUAUGAAAAAAUCCAGAAUCACAUCCUUGUCAAGGAAGGCUGCAAUGAUUACAGGACAGAACACCUUGAGAUUGAGUUGUGGUCCAACUUCCCAAUAGAGAAGCAAGCUUACAAAACCUAUACCAGGGACCUUUACCGCAAGUUUAGAGAAGAGUUUGAGCUGAUUGGACGUUAUAAUGCAUUCCAAGUUGGUGCUGAUAUAUUUGAGCUCAGACCGAACCAGAAAUUUGUUGCCAAAUAUGGUUCUCGAAACUACUUGGUGCAGGCAAGGGUGGAGGAGGGUUCCUAUUUGUGUGAGUGCUGUAAAAUGGACAAGGACGGCAUCCUCUAUUGCCACAUCCUCAAGGUGUUCACCCAUAUUGGAGUUGAUGUCAUACCGAAAAGGUACCUGCUAAGACGAUGGACACCUACUGCUGUACCUAGUGCGCCAGGGACUGGUUAUGAGCAACCGGAUAAAAUGCCUCCUCAAUCAAAGAAGCAGAUAAGGGAGAGGAACAUGAUAUAUGAUUUUUAG
rnacentral:rRNA from 1 species